rnacentral:lncRNA from 1 species
AAAUAUUUAUGUAAUCAGAUCCGCAAGGGAUCUACGCAAUCAGCUCUUUCCCUUUUGAGUUUGUGUUUUUUCCGGAGGCUUAUUUAAGAAUUCUCUCCUUAUCUCAAGGUCAUUAAGGUUUUCUCUCUGAACCCGGAGCUCGUCUAUUUGGCUGUGUUCACUGAGCAGAAUGAGGAUCCACCUGUCCCCACCUUCUAGAAAGCUCGAGAUGCACACCACCUGUUCCAGCUUUUCAUUUCAGAUCUUGAAUGUUGUCCUCCCAAGACUCAUUUGCUGGAUGCCCAGUCAGUGGAGCUAUGGGGAGAUGGUAGAAUCCUUCAGAAAGCUGGCCUGAUGUGAGCCGACUUCUCCAAGCAAGAUAUAUGUACCAUGCUGCCACAGGCCUGAAGUAACAGAGCUGGGGGACCAUGGAGCUGUAGCCUUCUUCAUAAGUGUAUGUGUGUGUGCAUGUACACACACACACACACACACACACACACACACACACACACACACACACUGACUAGGAGCUCUAGGAUUUGUCUGUGUCUAGUUAUAAUUGGCAGGUAAUAUUACAUGUUUGUAAGCACAAAAUGGGGCAGACCUUUCCCAGAUCUCCAGUAUUUGUAAAAAUCAAGGUUAUCAAUUUUAUUUAUCUACUUUAUGUAUGUAAGUACAGAUGGCGUGGUUGUAGAGAAUUAAACUUGGGACCUCUGGUUCUCUCCAGUCGUGAGGUUAAUAAUUUAAUGACUAUGAUGAGGUAAGUGAUUUCACCACAGAAGGCUACUCUUUGCUUGUUUGUCCAGUGCUGGGAAUAGAAUUCAGGGCUGUAGCAAGAAGUAAUGGUCUCUCAUUGGGCUACAGUCCCCAGACUCUCUGUCAUAAUGCUUGAACUAAAGCUAAAAUCUUCAAAUUUCUUCUCUUUGUUGUUUAUUCGCUUCUCAUUUGCAUACUAGAUGUUUGCCUCAGGAGUCUGUAGUCGUUGGCUCUUUGGCCUCAGUUUGAAGUCAUGGAUACUUUAGGAUACUUUAGGGAUCUCUGUGCAUGUCAACAUUUUUUUUUUUCAUUUUUAUGUUGGGACAGGGUGAGGAGGGAAUUGGUAAGGGAAGAAAACAGAAGGAAAGAGUGCAGAUCUCCUUGUUUAAUAUGCAGAAUUUCUUCUAGUCCUGCUACAGGUGUUCUUGUCCAGCCUGUUGCCAUAUGAAACUCUGGGUCUGAGCCCUCCUCCAUAGUGACAACUGCUCACAGUGAACCCUCGCUGGUACUUCUGAGUGUAGGGACUCACAGUGAGCCUGAUGGGAGAUUUGUGGAGAGGGCUCCACAAUGAUCUAGGCAGAGAUUCAACUCUCCUGUUUCCAGUGAUCUGCCUGCCUCACACCAACAUAUAUAAGGUGACAGACAACUUUUGGACAUCUACAAUCCUGAUACUCUGGAGAUGAGACAAGAAAGAAAUAGAAUUAUACCCAAUCCUUGAAUUUCUACAGAGUUCUGUUCAUCUAAAUGUUAUGAGUUUUUUAUUAAAUAAAAAACUUCAUCAAUAUAAAGUAUUGAAAGG